GCCAGACAGUGAAUAAUAGCAGCUUCUAAUUAGUGAGAAUUGGACGAAAGCAAAGAAAGACUUUUGCUGCUGGGAGUUCACGGAAUUUCCAGUAAAUAAUAACCACCACCUCAGGGACAAAAAAAAAAUAGAGUUAUGCCCAAAUUUGGUCACAAAACUAUUGGAAGGUAUGCAUACUGCUCUUUCUGCUGCCAGCAGCUAAUGACCCGUGUCCUUGAAAUAGCAUCAGAAUAGGUCAGGCAAGAUGGUAAACGUUUCUGCUUUCCUGUCUCCUGUCAGGAGUUCACUCAAAUGUGCAAUCAAUCCCAGUUGCAGAUCCGCUGGACUUCAGGGGAAAAGAAACAAUGUUUUCCAGAAGGAAAGUACUGCUAUUCGCUCCCGUUGGCCUGAUUCAAGGUUGGCCUGGGAGAUGCGGAAAGACCCUGUCCCCAAUAUCCUCAAAUGCCUCGCCACCCUGGACUACUGCCUGGAAUUUGUCUCAGUGUCUUCUCUCUCCAGCUCAGUGAUUCUCAACUAAGAGGCUACACCGAAGGGCUUAUCAGAAACACCUGGGGGUUUUUUCCAACUACAGGUGUAGAACCCAGCCCCAUCUCCAGUUGCCCCUCCAACUGCACCAAAGUGCGUUCUAACAGGAGAAAGAGGAGUGAUACUGGUGAGUUGGAGCCCUGGAAGGAGAGCGCCUGCACCCCUCAGUGAGGACAACGCUGCUAUUUGGGGAUACAGAGGCAGUGAGGCCAGUUGACGACAUUGACUGUGAAAGAGCAACAGUGAUGAAGCAUAAGUUUGUGGUUGACCAAGGCCUUGAAACCCCGGUGCCGAGGCCAUUAGGAAACCAUAAAAAGUAUUCAAAAGAAUAAAGAAAAGUGUCUCCAUUUCAGUGACUCAGGAAUGCUUCUAGCCUUCUGGGAUACUCCCCGCCACCUCUGCCACCUCCACCUCUUUCAUUUAAUAUUCCUAUAAAAACUUAUUGUGGACUUACCAUAUGAAAGGCACUAUGCUACGCACUGAAGACUCAGCAGAGAAGAUAGACAUACUCCCUACCCUCUGGAGGCUAAUAUCCUAGUGAAAGAGACAAAAAAAAAGACUGAUAAAUAUAAUAAUUACAAACGUUGACAGGUUCACACAAGGAAAUAAGCAACGUGCUGAAGCAGAGAGACGUGGGGAAUGCGGAGGGCUGCUAUAGCUAGCUUGGUGAGGGAAGACCAUAGGAGGAGCAAUGUGUAACCUGGGACCUGAAAAAUGAGCAGAAGUCGAUUAUGGUUAGAGGAGGUGGAAGAAGAUUCCAGAAGGUGGAAGUAAAACGGCCCUGAGGUGACACACUUGAAGGACUGAAAGAAAAUCGUUGUGGCUACAACUACUGAGAGGCAAGUGGCACAAGAUGAGAAUGGAGAGGUGACAGGGACCUGAUUCUGUACAGUCCUGGGGGCCAUAGAAAGGAGUUUGGACUUUAUUCUAGGAGCCGUGGGCAGCUACAUUACAUUUAAAGCAGGGGAGCGGCAUGAUGUAAAUUAAGUUUUAAGACCACAAACUGCUGCUAUGCAAAAGAUAGAUUAGACUAGAG
rnacentral:lncRNA from 1 species